rnacentral:lncRNA from 1 species
UUUUUCACUAAGUCUUUAGAGGUUUUAAGAUUCAAACACUAUGUAAGAAGAAUUAUGGUUUGAACUACGUAACAAUUACCUAGACAUCUUUUGGACUUCAGUUAACCUGUGUCAAGCACUGCAGUAGAUUCUGAAGAUACAAAAAUAAAUAAAACAUUCCUGCCCUCAAGACACUUACACUCUUAUGUGUAACACUGUGUGACCAUUCAUCUGGGCCUUCCUGAGACAGUCUUGGUUUACACCUGUUUUCCCAAUCAGAGCAUCACUGCCUUUCCCACUAUUCUCCUGCAGAAGAGCAGGGGAAGGAAGCACCAGGGUCCAUCAUGGAGGAAGGGUGUUGCCCUGAACAGCUGACACACCCUCAGCAAUGAAGCUUAGUUUUGCUGGAACUUUUCAGUUGUGACAACUGAGAUUCAGAGAUGUCCAAUCUACUCACAUAAAUAGCCUGGUUGAAGAUGGCUGAGCGUAAAACAGAAUGCAAGUCAGCUGGAGCACGUACUACUGGAGGCAGAGCCCCAUGAGAAGGGGCCAAGAACCCGCACCCAUCAAAAUCAAGAAGAAAGGCUGAACCCGGAGAGAAAAGGGAGCAACUGAUGUUGCCAUGCAGAUCCCUUGGUUGCUAUGAGAUGGUAACAUCACUCUGCCCCACCAUUGGCCAGUGCCUCCUCAGCUGCGGUGCCUCCCAGGCUGUGUGGUUCUCACGCGGGCCACUGACACAGAGCUGUUACUAUGGUGAACUUUACAAUUUCCUUUGAUUGGUGGAUUUCAGAAAUAGGCCAUCAGCGGAAUUCAUUAUAUUCAGCUAAGUAAAAAUGAAAAAUAAAUACUAUAACUUUCCCCUCAUCACUAACAUGAAGGAAACGUGACCCUUCAUGACAUAAUAAAUCGCUGUUCGGUAACUUAGGAUCCUUCAGGGGACUGAAGCGGGAUGAUCCUCCUAUGCCAAAUUUGGGUGGGAAAGAUAUUCCCUGUAGCUUUGAGUCGACUCUUCAGAGUUAAGGGCAGUGGGCCAACCAGAGUUGGAACUUCAGAGUUGGGAGGAGGUGUGGGAUGGGGCAUGCAUUGAAAUGUAAACUCUAUUGUCUCUGAAGUGAUGGGUGAUGCUGGGGGCCUGAGUGUGGAGGGCAGUUUUACAUCUCAGGACAAUGUUUUCUCAGAUGCUCUUCCAGAAAGAAAAGCCAGGAGUACUCCUGGCUGGAGGCGGCAUGCCUGAGGUCAGAGUCAAAGUAGGGUUUGUGCUGUCUGAAUCCUUUCUCCCACUCUCCCCAGCCUGGCUCAGCUUCUCAGCUUCUCAGGUGGAUUGGCCUCUGAGCCCAAGCCAAGCCAUCGCAUCCCCUGUGACUUGCCCGUAUAUAUGCCCAGAUGGCCUGAAGUAACUGAAGAAUCACAAAAGAAGUGAAUAUGCCUUGCCCCACCUUGACUGAUGACAUUCCACCACAAAAGAAGUGUAAAUGGCCGGUCCUUGCCUUAACUGAUGACAUUACCUUGUGAAAGUCCUUUUCCUGGCUCAUCCUGGCUCAAAAAGCACCCCCACUGAGCAUCUUGCGACUCCCACUCCUGCCCACUGAGCACCUUGUGACCCCCACUCCUGCCUGCCAGAGAACAAACCCCCUUUGACUGUAAUUUUCCUUUACCUACCCAAAUCCUAUAAAACGGCUCCACCCUUAUCUCCUUUUGCUGACUCUCUUUUCUGACUCAGCCCGCCUGCACCCAGGAGAUUAAAAGCUUUAUUGCUCACACAAA